UUCCCCUUGACUUGAGCAGUUAUAUACAGAUGGCAACAAGUUGUACCUCCGAAUAAGGGUCUAGUCAAGAACGUGCUAGUGUUCAUGAAUUUUGCUAACACAGUUCUGGUUCUAAACUACUCCUGUGUUGGUUUCAUGGUAUUAAGCUUGCAUGAAACAACUGCUGCAUAUGUCAGUGUGUAGUAAAUUGGCACCAUUUUGCUUAUAGUAUUGAUCCUCCUCAACUGCAUAAUUAAACCAGCAAGAUCUGCCAUGUCUAAAGCUCGAAAGGAACAGUGAGGCAGAAACUCAUCGUUUGACAUCGAAUCAGAAGAUUAGCAAAUGACGAGCACUUGCCUCAGCUGUUAAUUUGUGAGGAAGGGAACCAGCUGCUGGUGCAGGUGAUGAUGGCGGUGGCGGUGUUGAAGGAGAAUAGCGAGAGAAGGAGGCGAGAGAGAUGGCAGAUUUGACAAUCGUUCCGAAGAUGCUAACCAAAGUUGGAUUAGCUAACAUUCUGGGGGUCCCAUCGUUUAUUAUAUUUUAUGUUAAUUUUGAGUGAAUAUGUGAUGAGGAUACAAUUAUAACACAAAUUUAAAAUUAAAAUGUUUGGAGUUUAAAUUUAUUUUAGGAUGCAAUUAUUAUAAGUAGUAAA